rnacentral:rRNA from 1 species
UGUGACAUACCUUAAUGUUGCCUCGGCGGAUCAGCCCGCGCCCCGUAAAACGGGACGGCCCGCCAGAGGACCCAAACUCUAAUGUUUCUUAUUGUAACUUCUGAGUAAAACAAACAAAUAAAUCAAAACUUUCAACAACGGAUCUCUUGGUUCUGGCAUCGAUGAAGAACGCAGCAAAAUGCGAUAAGUAAUGUGAAUUGCAGAAUUCAGUGAAUCAUCGAAUCUUUGAACGCACAUUGCGCCCGCUGGUAUUCCGGCGGGCAUGCCUGUUCGAGCGUCAUUUCAACCCUCAAGCCCCCGGGUUUGGUGUUGGGGAUCGGCUCUGCCUUCUGGCGGUGCCGCCCCCGAAAUACAUUGGCGGUCUCGCUGCAGCCUCCAUUGCGUAGUAGCUAACACCUCGCAACUGGAACGCGGCGCGGCCAUGCCGUAAAACCCCAACUUCUGAAUGUUGACCUCGGAUCAGGUAGGAAUACCCGCUGAACUUAAGCAUAUCAAUAAGCGGAGGAAA